AUUGAUUCACCAGAGUGUGAAUGUGUGAGUGAAUGAUGAAUGGAUCCACUGUACGCGCUCUGAGUAUGUGUAAAUAGAAAAACAUUAUAUA